rnacentral:misc_RNA from 1 species
GAAAUGCGAUAAGUAAUGUGAAUUGCAGAAUUCAGUGAAUCAUCGAAUCUUUGAACGCACAUUGCGCCCGCCAGUAUUCUGGCGGGCAUGCCUGUUCGAGCGUCAUUUCAACCAUCAAGCCCCCCGGCUUGUGUUGGGGACCUGCGGCUGCCGCAGGCCCUGAAAAGCAGUGGCGGGCUCGCUGUCACACCGAGCGUAGUAGCAUACAUCUCGCUCUGGGCGUGCUGCGGGUUCCGGCCGUUAAACCACCUUCGUAACCCAAGGUUGACCUCGGAUCAGGUAGAAAGACCCGCUGAACUUAAGC